CCGCUGAUUGGCUGAAGCAAGGCCCGUAGCUCCCUUAGUCGGGGUGUGAGGAGACGGCCCCUGGGGAGCCGAGGGGACGACGGCUAUUCUCAGAGGAGCGGAUCUUAGAUUUAGAGCUGGAAGGGACCGUAGAGCUUAUCUGGUCCAAACCACUAAUUCCGCACAUGAGGAAACUGAUCCCCAGAGUUGUUAAGUGAUUUGCCCAAGAUCACACAGAAUGCAGGUUAGAACUCCAGAGAAAAUGUCUACUGAAUGGUCCUCUUGGACAAACCUUUCAACCAUUCAGAAAAUAGCACUGGGACUUGGAAUUCCAGCCAGCCUGACUGUUGCUUAUAUUCUCUACCGAAGAUAUAGAGAAAGCCGAGAAGAACGACUGACAUUCGUUGGGGAAGAUGAUAUUGAGGUGGAGAUGCGGGUCCCCCAGGAGGCUGUGAAACUGAUUAUUGGCCGACAAGGAGCCAAUAUUAAACAGUUGAGGAAGCAGACUGGUGCUCGUAUUGAUGUGGACACAGAAGAUGUAGGUGAGGAGCGGGUGCUGCUCAUCAGUGGCUUUCCUGUCCAGGUUUGCAAAGCCAAAGCAGCAAUCCACCAGAUCCUGACGGAGAACACCCCAGUGUAUGAACAGCUUUCAGUACCUCAGAGAUCUGUGGGCAGAAUUAUAGGGAGAGGUGGGGAGACCAUUCGUGCCAUCUGCAAAAGCUCUGGGGCCAAAAUCACCUGUGACAAGGAAUCAGAAGGGACAUUGCUACUAACACGCCUCAUAAAGAUCUCAGGAACCCAGAAGGAAGUGGCAGCGGCCAAGCAUCUUAUCCUAGAAAAAGUUUCUGAAGAUGAAGAGCUCCGGAAGAGGAUUGCUCAUUCAGCAGAAUCCAGAGUACAGCGCAAGCAGCCCAUCAGUGUCAAGAGAGAAGAAGUGGUAGGGCCCAGGGGAGCUGGGGAGCCAGCCUUUCCUAAGGACAUGAGCAUCAGCAAGAAGCUGGCCCCCACAAUGGCUUCUGCUCCUAGCCGAGGAGGAGGAGAUACAGCUGGGCUGAGACCAGAGCGGGUAGAAUAUUCCCAUGAACGAAAGUUUAGUGAGAACAGCUACCAGGAGAACGUGGGAGCCCAGGCCAGUCCAGAGAUGCCAAAGUUUGAAAUCCCCAGCCCUGACUUCAGUUUCCAUGCUGACGAGUAUCUAGAAGUCUAUGUGUCUGCCUCUGAAAACCCCAACCAUUUCUGGAUCCAGAUUAUUGGCUCCCGCAGCUUACAGCUGGACAAGCUGGUCAACGAGAUGACCCAGUACUAUGAGAACAGUCAGUCACCUGAAGAUCUGACUGUGCACGUGGGUGACAUUGUAGCAGCUCCUUUACCUACAGAUGGACCCUGGUAUCGGGCCCGGGUCCUGGGUACCCUUGAGAAUGGGAACUUGGAUCUCUACUUUGUUGACUUUGGAGAUAAUGGGGAGAGCCCACUCAAGGACUUGAGAGCUAUCAGGAGUGACUUCCUAAGCCUCCCAUUCCAAGCAAUAGAAUGUAGUCUAGCAAGGAUUGUUCCCUCAGGUGAGCAGUGGGAAGAGGAAGCCCUAGAUGAAUUUGAUCGCCUCACUCAUUGUGCAGAGUGGAAACCUCUGGUGGCCAAGAUCUCCAGCUAUGUGCAAACAGGGAUUUCUACUUGGCCAGAAAUCCACCUUUAUGACACAAGCAAUGGCCAGAAUCUUGAUAUCGGGCUAGAACUAGUGCGCCAGGGUUAUGCAGUUGAACUCCCCCAAGAUGUGGGAGAAGGAGAUGUUGCUGUCCCUGAGAUGCUGCAGGAUAUAUUGGCCACAGAGACAGAUGCCUCUCUAGAUAGCCUGUUGUCUGAGGCCAAGAAGAGCCCUGGGGAGACACCACACACUCUCUCAUGCCUCAGCUUAUCAGAAGCUGCCUCAGUUUCUGGUGAUGAUGGUGUCCUUGCAGAAGAUGACUUACUCUGAUGUCUGUGCUCUGGCUGGCUCAGCCACCUGCCUGCUUUGUGAGUGGGGCUCUGAUUUGUGUCUUAUGGAGCAGGAAAACGGAAGUGGCAAGGUAUGGCAUGGAGGCCUGUGGCUGGACAGAAAAUCAAAUUCCACAGAAGAUACCCCAACAUUUCCUCCUUUGUGGACUGCCUGUUAAUUGGCCUGCUGUGAACCAAAUACAGCUGCUUCUACUAGCAGAAUGAAGCACUUUUCAGAAAAAGACUAUAUAUGUGUGUGCAUGUGUUUGUGUAUCAGGCGCUGCCUUAGAAGGGGUUCCCUUAGCACUGCCCACAGACACAAGCAAUAAAAGCACUGUCCUAUGAUGCCGGGUAUUUGGUUGGAACUGGGAGGGAAAACAUUGGUUAGGGUUCUAUUAGUUGAGAGUAGGGAUUAUUCAGAAGUCUACUUCAUUUAAAAUUUUUAAGUUGUGAAUUGAAGAAGUUCUGAACCCCCCACAGGUUUUUACAACUGUGGAUGAAGAGACACCCUGGGUAUAAGGUUAACAGGAUUGAAUCAAUAGCCCAAGGAAAUAAGCUGGUAAUACUCCCUGCCAGCUUCAGGUGAUGCCAUUAUUAUUUAAGGCAAGAUUUUUGAGAGUUGUCUCCCUCUUGAACCUAGGCUGUGGUACCAGCAGGAAAACAGUGAGGGCUCAGGAAAUGUUAUAAAAUGCAAUGCCUUAGGUAGGUGCAAUGGCCUAUAUGUAUGUAAAGAGAGAGAGAACUCUGUAAGCCACAUAGGGAAAUCAUUAUUAAAAUAAAGUUCUGUUUUUUAAAUGAC